AGAUUGAACGCUGGCGGAAUGCUUUACACAUGCAAGUCGAACGGCAGCACGGGGGUAACCCUGGUGGCGAGUGGCGAACGGGUGAGUAAUACAUCGGAACGUGCCCAGUCGUGGGGGAUAACGUAGCGAAAGCUACGCUAAUACCGCAUACGAACUCUGGUUGAAAGCGGGGGACUCGCAAGAGCCUCGCGCGAUUGGAGCGGCCGAUGGCAGAUUAGGUAGUUGGUGGGGUAAAGGCUCACCAAGCCUGCGAUCUGUAGCUGGUCUGAGAGGACGACCAGCCACACUGGGACUGAGACACGGCCCAGACUCCUACGGGAGGCAGCAGUGGGGAAUUUUGGACAAUGGGCGAAAGCCUGAUCCAGCCAUGCCGCGUGUGUGAAGAAGGUCUUCGGAUU
rnacentral:rRNA from 1 species